UACGAAGGGGGCUAGCGUUGCUCGGAAUGACUGGGCGUAAAGGGCGCGUAGGCGGCUUGUCGAGUCGGGUGUGAAAUUCCUGGGCUUAACCUGGGGGCUGCAUUCGAUACGUAUGGGCUUGAGUGCGGAAGAGGGUCGUGGAAUUCCCAGUGUAGAGGUGAAAUUCGUAGAUAUUGGGAAGAACACCGGUGGCGAAGGCGGCGACCUGGUCCGCGACUGACGCUGAGGCGCGAAAGCGUGGGGAGCAAACAGG
rnacentral:rRNA from 1 species